AUUCAGUGUGUUAAACCCUCUGAGAUUUUACAUUUCCUCUGUUCAUCACAUCAGUCUCUUCCUAGUGGAGUGGCCAUAAUCUCUGGGAAUUUCGAGUUGGCGGAGCUGAUUAAGAAGCACAGAGAAAGUGACGUAGGGCACGUCUUAAUGUGAAAGAAAUGACUGGACUAAUCCAGGAGCGGCAGCUAGGAUUAAGAGCGAUGACGAGCCAGAGCUGCACUUAAGAUAUUCUCCUCUGAAACC
rnacentral:lncRNA from 1 species